CCUGAAAGGGUAUAAAUAGGGAGGUCAGAGGCAGAGAGUCUGGGUUACGCCACUUCUUGGCACCAUCAUGACUAAGGCAACUAGGAAGCCACGGCAGUCAAGAAGACUUGCAAUGCGGUUUGCUUCAAGGAAGAAUGGAAAAAAGAAGACCCUUUGUCAAAGGAGGUGCAGAGGCAGUGUGAAGGCAUGAAAUAUGACCAUGAGGGUCAGAAGACCUUUACAAGGAAACUUAAGAAGGAAAAUCUGAUCGUAUGCCACUCAAUCAAAGAAGGUGAAGAAAACAAGAAAGCCAAUCUUUUUCUUCUCUCCCUCUGCAUGUAAGAAAUGGAAUCAAAGCCAAAAAAGGCACCAACAUAUGAGACAUAGUCAAAGAAGGAGGCAGAAUCAAGAUAGAAGAUAAGCUCAGCCACCCCAGAAUAAGAGACCCUGGAGAAGUACAACCUGGGCAGCCAGUAAGUGAAUAGAAAAGAUCAGACAGUUUAGAAUUGUGUCUCCAGAGGUCUGCUUUCUUAGAAAUGGCCAGCCAAGAAAAGACUCUCACACUAACAUAGUACACUGAUGGCUGCAAUUAAAACAAACAUCAAAUGGUGAUAAGA